rnacentral:lncRNA from 1 species
AACUAAUGGCUGAAAAAGCAAGUUUUAAAAGAUUUUUUUUAAGAGUUAUCUGAUAUCAGGUCUUUAACAUCAUUACAUUUAAAAGGAUGUCUUAGCAAGUCAGAGUUUCUUAAGACUGAUGGUACAUAUUCAAUGGGCAACUGGCAUGUUGUGGAAGGAACUAUCAAUGCUGAUAGGUACAUAAAGACUACAUACUGUGUACUCUCCUCCAGAUGACAUCUGUUUCAGGGAAGAUCUUGUAUUUUUCAGAAGGAUACCGGAUACUCUCUCAUCGGCGACCACGCUACCUCAUUCUCCACAGCCAGUUGUCCCUGCCACUCCAUUAUGUCUGCCAGCUCAGUCAGUCCCUCAGCCAGUAACCCUGCCCGUCCCUCAGGUUGACCCAGCUGGUCUGUCUGCUUUUUACUCUCCCUCUUCCUGUGACCCUGUCUCUCUCUCUGCCUGUGACCCUGUCUGUUCCUCUGCCUGUGACCCUGUCUGUCUCUCUGUCUGUUCCUCUGCCUGUGACCCUGUCUGUUCCUCUGCCUGUAACCCUGUCUGUUGCUCUGCCUGUGACCCUGUCUGUCUCUUUGCCUGUCACCCUGUUUGUCUCUCUGUCUGUUCCUCUGCCUGUGACCCUGUCUGUCUCUUUGUCUGUUCCUCUGCCUGUGACCCUGUCUGUUCCUCUGCCUGUGACCCUGUCUGUCUCUCUGUCUGUGACUCUGUCUGUUCCUCUGCCUGUGACCCUGUCUGUUGCUCUGCCUGUGACCCUGUCUGUCUCUUUGUCUGUAACUCUGUCUGUUCCUCUGCCUGGGACCCUGUCUGUUCCUCUGCCUGUGACCCUGUCUGUUCCUCUGCCUGUGACCCUGUCUGUCUCUCUGUCUGUGACUCUGUCUGUUCCUCUGCCUGUGACCCUGUCUGUUCCUCUGCCUGUUCCUCUGUCUGUGACCCUGUCUGGUCCUCUUCCUGUGACCCUCUCUGUCUCUUUGCCUGUGACCCUGUCUGUUCCUCUGCCUGUGACCCUGUCUGUCUCUCUGUCUGUGACAAUGGCAGUGACCCUGUCUGUCUGUCUCUCUGCCUGGGACCCUGUCUGUUCCUCUGCCCGUGACCCUGUCUGUUCCUCUGCCUGUGAGCCUGUCUGUCUCUCUGUCUGUGAC